rnacentral:rRNA from 1 species
GACGAACCGUGCGAACGUUGUUCGGAAUAACUGGGCAUAAAGGGCGCGUAGGCGGGCCCGAAAGUCAGGGGUGAAAUCCCACGGCUCAACCGUGGAAGCGCCUUUGAUACUGCGGGCCUGGAGGGAGGCAGGGGAGUGCGGAACUUCCGGUGGAGCGGUGAAAUGCGCAGAUAUCGGGAAGAACACCCGUGGCGAAGGCGGUUCUCUGGGACGGUACUGACGCUGAGACGCGAAAGCGUGGGGAGCGAACAGG